GCACUGGUGGUUCAGUGGUUGAAUUCUCGCCUGCCACGCGGGAGGCCUGGGUUCGAUUCCCGGCCAAUGCA
rnacentral:tRNA from 1 species